GCCAGUGUGGUGUAGCGGUUUCAGUUUGCACAAGAACUCUGUAGACCAGGGUUCGAAUCCCUGCUCAGCCA